rnacentral:rRNA from 1 species
CCUACGGGUGGCUGCAGUGGGGAAUCUUGCACAAUGGGGGAAACCCUGAUGCAGCGACGCCGCGUGAGUGAUGACGCCCUUCGGGGUGUAAAGCUCUUUCGGCCCGAACGAUAAUGACGGUACGGGAAGAAGAAGCUGCGGCUAACUACGUGCCAGCAGCCGCGGUAAUACGUAGGCAGCGAGCGUUGUUCGGAGUUACUGGGCGUAAAGCGUGCGUAGGCGGUCUCAUAAGUCUGUUGUGAAAUCUCCCGGCUCAACUGGGAGGGUGCGGUGGA